ensembl:lncRNA
UGUGGAGGCUAUAUACAGGGUAUUACGGUACAGAGUCAAUGUGGAGGCUACAUACAGGGUAUUACGGUACAGAGUCAAUGUGGAGGCUAUAUACAGGGGGUACCGGUACAGAGUCAAUGUGGAGGCUAUAUACAGGGGGUACCGGUACAGAGUCAAUGUGGAGACUAUAUACAGGGGGUACCGGUACAGAGUCAAUGUGGAGGCUAUAUACAGGAGGUGCCGGUACUGAGUCAAUGUGGAGACUAUAUACAGGGGGUACCGGUACAGAGUCAAUGUGGAGGCUAUAUACAGGAGGUGCCGGUACUGAGUCAAUGUGGAGACUAUAUACAGGGGGUACUGGUACAGUGUCAAUGUGGAGGCUAUAUACAGGGUAUUACGGUACAGAGUCAAUGUGGAGACUAUAUACAGGGGGUACCAGUACAGAGUCAAUGUGGAGACUAUAUACAGGGGUACCGGUACAGGGUCAAUGUGGAGACUAUAUACAGGGGUACCGGUACAGGGUCAAUGUGGCACCGGUGUUGAGGUAAUUGUGGUAAUAAUGUACAUGUAGGUAGAGUUAUUAAAGUGGUUAUGCAUUGAU